GUCAUGAUGGCUGAGUGGUCUAAAGCACCAGACUGAAAUUCUGGUCUCUGAAUGGAGGCGUGGGUUCAAAUCCCACUCCUGACA